rnacentral:misc_RNA from 1 species
GGGGUGUGGUGUUGUGGAGACCCAAGUUUUCACUGGUAGGCCGUCUUUAGCAAGCCAUUUCAAGAAAAACCAUGUAAAGCUAAGCUGUAAACUAAAAACAAAAACGACUUUUUUAUCUCUCUCACAUUUAAGAUUACUUGUUAAAGCAACUACAUCGCUCAGGCAAUAUCUCAGAAACAGAAUUCUCAGAGCAUGUAGAAAGUCAUUAAAAUAAGAUUUUUUGUGACCUUAACAGUACAAAUGGUGAAAAACUGAAUACAAAAAGUCCCCAGGAUCCUAAGAAAAAGUUGGGAUCUUUAAGAAAAUUUCAGCAUUAAAAAUAAUGAAGUUCCCCUCUGCAGCUCAGCCCCUCCUUAAUCAUGUGAAUACCUAGUAAAAAGUUACUUCUAAAAUCACAUACUAUGAUACAAUUUAUCGUUUAACUCUCAGAAAGGCAAUUAGUAGUUGGAAAUCCUCUUAAACAAGAAUAACAAAAUAAAUACUGACAUUAGAAUAGUCAAAGUCACUCUUAACAGGAAAAAAAAUAAAUAAAACCAACAAGAAAAAAUGAGAUGGUGUUGCAAACAGAAGUGUGGAGAAGGAUAUGAGAAAUGUUUCAGGAAGGAUGUCUUUGAAACCAAGGCACAAAAUAUACCUGUGAAACAAGAUUACAUAGCUGUCGCACAGCCUGAGGAGAUCCAUCCAUAAAAUAUAAUGC